rnacentral:tRNA from 1 species
ACUGGGAUGGCCGAGUGGUUAAGGCGUUGGACUUAAGUUCCAAUGGACAAAAGUCCUCGUGGGUUCAAACCCCACUCCUGGUA